CUCUAACCUAGUGGCGCUAAAAGAAACCCCUCCCAGGCUCCCAGCAGCACCGAAUCAUGCCCCUCCCACCAGUGCCGAACCCCUUCAUCCCAUCGUCGCUCACCACCGUGCGCUCACUAGUGUCGAAGAAGGUGCGUGUAACUAUGAUGAUGAUGAUGAACAACAAUGGCCAAAUGAGACAGAGAAGGGAAGGGGGUUAGAGAUUGUAGUUCAUGUGUAGGUGUCAUGCUGGAACUUGCUCCUAGAAUUUCUCAGUGGGCUCAUGAAUUAAAGAGAGGGUGUUAUAUUCUCUAUUCAAUAUUGGCGAGGAGGAGGGUCUCAA